CAGGAAAUGAGGAAAUAUGCACAGCAGAAUCGAUUUUCAUCAUCAGAGAAGGUAUAUAAUCUCAAAGACCCCAAGCAGCAAGCAUUCACUUUUGAGAAAGCUUCGGCGAAACGCGUCAAGUGAGGAAGAAUUUUGGACUUUUAUACAGGACUGGUUUUAUAGUUUAUUAUUCACUUUUCACUUAUUGUAUUAAAGUAUAUAUAUUUUUUAAACUAUCCAGUCAUUCCUUUUGUCCUCCUUCCUAUCCAAUACUGCUUUGCUGCUAUACCUGGGUCCACUAUAUCCCAAGGUGGGGAUUAUUCCACCUGAAAUUCUCCAAACUAGAGCAGGUCGUUGCUCUAGUAUAUA